GUAGUCUCCUGUGUGAGAGCGGCAGAGACACUCAGAGGCUGGAAAGAGAAAACCCGUUUGACAAGCACAACAAGAGGCAGUGAAACUCCAAACCGGAGGGCAGGUUGUUUGUGGAUUCCUGGAGCCUGUCUCAUGAAGAAGAUAAACUUUGCUGAAUAAAACCUUCAAACCUGAUCUGGAACAUGGACUGAAGAGAGAGACUUGUAUUGGGUUUUACUCAGGGAAAUGUAGGGGAAGGACAGCUGUCAAGACUUAUCAGAGGCAGUGAGAUACAGCAGGCCCCUAAACGUGGGCGCCGGGUCACAAUGCUCCUCUGUGCACCCUGACGUAUGGCAUCCUGGCACUGAUAUGGCCCUGGAAAAUUCUCAGGAUGAACACCCGUGCCAAAAGCCUUCAAACCUCCCAAACCCUGGGAUGGCGUCCUCUGGGGCUCAUGCUUGAUUGUCUGGGCCUCAGCUUACAAACCACUGAAAGAGAGACAGCUCUAAGGAGCAGCUGAAGAGAGGCAGGAGAGGAGAUGACACGCAGCAAAGGCCCGCUGGUUGGAACCUACAAAGACACAGGUACAAGGAAUAGACAGGAGACGACUUCUCGUAGACAGGUGAAAUGAUUCCAGUGUGGUCAUAUUGCUCAUGUAGCCUUCACUUCUGUUCAGGCAAGUUGGAUGUUUUUUUAUUUUUAUUUUAUUUUUUUGCCAUCAGCAGAAUAAUCUGUUCAAUUUCCCGGCCUGUGUUUGAUUUUGCAAUGCAGAUUG